GGGAGAGGAGACGGAAUAGGGAAGUGCAGAGGGGGGCCUCAGGCUUUAAAGACAAGACAGAAGAAGAAGAGAGAAUGAUGUGACAUAGGGGGAAGAAAGAGAGAUGCUGAAAUUGGUGUUGUUGUGACUGACAGAAAACGAGCCGGGCCUGUGUCUUUGAUCUAACGGUUGACAAGAAACCGAAAUGGAAAGUGUAAGCUCACAUGGUUUGGUUCUGGUGGGGAUCCUAUGUAUCUUUUGGAAGAUUUUUAUUCCUACACAUUGCACACUGCACGUGCGUCUUUUUACUGCCGAGGAGAAUGAUGUGGAACGGGUUUUUGUCCAUGCAUGAAACGGUAUUUUCUUUUCGCCAUAUUUAAUAUGGGUCUUGCAUGUGAGAAUUCAUGUAGUUGGGCUUUGAUCUAUGCUAGCAUGUUGAGCAAUGAAAGACGUAUAACAAGGUAAAG
rnacentral:lncRNA from 1 species